GAUAAAUAUCUAUAUAUUAGAGUAGACCAGCUCACACUUGUCAACACAAACAAGUCGCAUGUGUGUUUGUGUAAGAGAAACCUCGUAGACUAAUUCGAUCACUCUUUAUAUCACGAUCCUCUGAAAAUUCGCAACCCUCAGUCAGCUACUCCUCUCAGAUCUGUGAACUUUGGGGGUUCUGCGAAGUGGAGGUAAAUGCAGACGAGGUACAUGGAGAGGACCAACUCUAUGAGUAGAGGGAAGCGGAAUUUGGAGGGCGACGAUGAUCUGCCCGAUCGGAAGCGCCCAGCUUUAGCUAGGGAUCCCAAUUCCAAAUGUUGGGAGUUCAGCUGCAUUAGAUAUUUGUGAAUUUUGGACUGAAUUUAAAUUUGGAUCCUAAUUCCACCAAGAAGUUACCCAAUAACAGGCAAAUUUUGGAACUUCGUGUUUUGUACUAGUUU